UACCGUUUCCUUGAUGGCAGGGUCGAGAUU
rnacentral:sRNA from 1 species